rnacentral:rRNA from 1 species
AUCUACCUUAUACAGGGGGAUAGCCUUUGGAAACGAAGAUUAAUACCCCAUAGUAUUGUUAAGUGGCAUCGUUUAACAAUUAAAACUCCGGUGGUAUAAGAUGACUAUGCGUCCUAUUAGCUAGUUGGUAUGGUAACGGCAUACCAAGGCAACGAUAGGUAGGGGUCCUGAGAGGGAGAUCCCCCACACUGGUACUGAGACACGGACCAGACUCCUACGGGAGGCAGCAGUGAGGAAUAUUGGACAAUGGUCGGAAGACUGAUCCAGCCAUGCCGCGUGCAGGAAGACUGCCCUAUGGGUUGUGAACUGCUUUUAUACAGGAAGAAUAAGGAGCUCGUGAGCUCUGAUGACGGUACUGUAAGAAUAAGCACCGGCUAACUCCGUGCCAGCAGCCGCGGUAAUACGGAGGGUGCAAGCGUUAUCCGGAAUCAUUGGGUUUAAAGGGUCCGCAGCGGGUUUAUAAGUCAGUGGUGAAAGUCUGCAGCUUAACUGUAGAAUUGCCAUUGAUACUGUAGAUCUUGAAUCGUUGUGAAGUGGUUAGAAUAUGUAGUGUAGCGGUGAAAUGCUUAGAGAUUACAUAGAAUACCGAUUGCGAAGCAGAUCACUAACAACGUAUUGACGCUGAUGGA